rnacentral:lncRNA from 1 species
UUUACAAAGGCAGCGGAACUUCUGGAGUCUGAAGCACUGAUGGUGUUGCCUUCAUUUGUCCAGGGUGGCUUAAGACUUUUACCCUCUGUUGGUUUCAACAGAUCUCCAAACUUUUCACUUGUGUUUAAUUUAGCAGUGCAUUUCUCUGUCUCAUGAGAGGUGGUGACUUCUUUUGUCUUCUUUAUUUCUCCAUUCUGCUUACGCCUCUCCUCAGCUUCUUUUGCCAUUUGUUCUUGCUUUCUUUUCUCUUCCUCCAGCUGCCUCUGUCGUUGUUCUGUUUCUCUCAAGAUCCCGGCUUGCUUAUUUUUCUCCUCCUCUUCAUGGAGCUUUUCCUGAGCCUUUUCCUGCAUUCUCUCUUCCUCUAAUCGUUUCUUUUUCUCCUCCUCUUCCCUUCGGAUAUUUUCCUGCCAUCGGUUCUCUUUCUCCCGUUUUGCUUUCCUUGUAGCCUCAUCUUCCAGCCGCUUUUUCUGCGCAAGUUCAGCUCUUCGUUUCUCUACCUCUCUUAUUUUGCUCUGUUUGAUC